AUACUUACCUGGCAGGGGAGAUACCAUGAUCACGAAGGUGGUUUUCCCCAGGGCGAGGCUUAUCCAUUGCACUCCGGAUGUGCUGACCCCUGCGAUUUCCCCAAAUGUGGGAAACUCGACUGCAUAAUUUGUGGUAGUGGGGGACUGCGUUCGCGCUUUCCCCUG
rnacentral:snRNA from 1 species